rnacentral:tRNA from 1 species
GGGCCUGUAGUUCAGUUGGAAGAACACUUCAUUUGCAAUGAAGAGAUCAGCGGUUCGAGCCCGCUCGGGUCCA